rnacentral:rRNA from 1 species
GACGAACGCUGGCGGCGUGCUUAACACAUGCAAGUCGAACGGAAAGGCCCUGCUUUUGUGGGGUGCUCGAGUGGCGAACGGGUGAGUAACACGUGAGUAACCUGCCCUUGACUUUGGGAUAACUUCAGGAAACUGGGGCUAAUACCGGAUAGGAGCUCCUGCUGCAUGGUGGGGGUUGGAAAGUUUCGGCGGUUGGGGAUGGACUCGCGGCUUAUCAGCUUGUUGGUGGGGUAGUGGCUUACCAAGGCUUUGACGGGUAGCCGGCCUGAGAGGGUGACCGGCCACAUUGGGACUGAGAUACGGCCCAGACUCCUGCGGGAGGCAGCAGUGGGGAAUAUUGCACAAUGGGCGGAAGCCUGAUGCAGCAACGCCGCGUGCGGGAUGACGGCCUUCGGGUCGUAAACCGCUUUCGCCUGUGACGAAGCGUGAGUGACGGUAAUGGGUAAAGAAGCACCGGCUAACUACGUG